UGGGGAAUAUUGGACAAUGGGCGAAAGCCUGAUCCAGCCAUGCCGCGUGUGUGAAGAAGGCCUUUUGGUUGUAAAGCACUUUAAGUGGGGAGGAAAAGCUUGUGGUUAAUACCCACAAGCCCUGACGUUACCCACAGAAUAAGCACCGGCUAACUCUGUGCCAGCAGCCGCGGUAAUACAGAGGGUGCAGGCGUUAAUCGGAAUUACUGGGCGUAAAGCGAGCGUAGGUGGUCAUUUAAGUCAGAUGUGAAAGCCCCGGGCUUAACCUGGGAACUGCAUCUGAUACUGGGUGACUAGAGUAGGUGAGAGGGAAGUAGAAUUCCAGGUGUAGCGGUGAAAUGCGUAGAGAUCUGGAGGAAUACCGAUGGCGAAGGCAGCUUCCUGGCAUCAUACUGACACUGAGGUUCGAAAGCGUGGGUAGCAAACAGGAUUAGAUACCCUGGUAGUCCACGCCGUAAACGAUGUCUACCAGUCGUUGGGUCUCUUGAAGACUUAGUGACGCAGUUAACGCAAUAAGUAGACCGCCUGGGGAGUACGGCCGCAAGGUUA
rnacentral:rRNA from 1 species